rnacentral:rRNA from 1 species
UACGGGGGGAGCAAGCGUUGUUCGGAUUUACUGGGCGUAAAGGGCGCGUAGGCGGCACCGCAAGUCGACUGUGAAAUCUCCGGGCUUAACUCGGAAAGGUCAGCCGAUACUGCGGGGCUAGAGUGCAGAAGGGGCAACUGGAAUUCUCGGUGUAGCGGUGAAAUGCGUAGAUAUCGAGAGGAACACCUGCGGCGAAGGCGGGUUGCUGGGCUGACACUGACGCUGAUGCGCGAAAGCGAGGGGAGCGAACGGG